GUGAGUUAUUUGCAACAAAAUCUAAACUAUUCAGGGGAUAAAGCCCUAUAUUUAAAAUAUCAACUCAGGUAUUGGAGCCCUAAUAUUGGCGGAAAGACGACUAGGGAAUAGAGGUUCUGUGUCUAAACAGCUCAACUCAGGGAUUGGAGCCCUAAUGUUGGCAAAAUGCGACUAGGGAAUGGAGGUCCUAUGUAUAAAAAGUUCAACUCAGGGAUUGAAGCCCUAAUGUAGGCAAAAGGCGACUAGGGAAUGGAGGCCCUAUGUCUCAAAAGAUCAACUCGGGGAUUGGAGCCCAAAUGUUGGCAAAAAGGCGACUAGGGAAUGGAGGCCCUAUGUCUAAAAAGUCUCAACUCAGGGAUUAGAGCCCUAAUGUUGGUAAAAGGUGACUAGGGAAUGGAGGCCCUAUGUCUAAAAAGCUCAACUUAGGGAUUGGAGCCCUAAUGUUGGCAAAAGGCGACUUGGGAAUGGAGGCCCUAUGUCUAAAAAGCUCAA
rnacentral:lncRNA from 1 species